rnacentral:tRNA from 1 species
GGCGGUAUGGCUCAAGUGGUAGAGUGCCAAGCAAGCAAGUGUGAGACCUUGAGUUCAAAUCCCAUUACCACCA